GAGCGAGAACCUGGCCUUCGGGCCUGGGGAAAGCGGCGAACGGGUGAGUAACACGUGGGUAACCCACCCUUGGUACCGGGAUAGCCCGAGGAAACUCGGAUUAAUACCGGAUGGCCCAACAGCUCUUCGGGGCGGUUGGAAAAGGUAGCUUCGGCCUCCGACCAAGGACGGGCCCGCGGCGGAUUAGCUUGUUGGUGAGGUAACGGCUCACCAAGGCGACGAUCCGUAGCUGGUAUGAGAGGACGAUCAGCCACACUGGGACUGAGACACGGCCCAGACUCCUACGGGAGGCAGCAGUGGGGAAUCUUGCGCAAUGGGCGAAAGCCUGACGCAGCGACGCCGCGUGGGGGAAGAAGGCUUUCGGGUUGUAAACCCCUUUCAGGAAGGACGAAGCCACUCGGGUGAAGAGCCCAGAGGGUGACGGGACUUACCAGAAGAAGCCCCGGCUAACGCACGUG
rnacentral:rRNA from 1 species